GACGAACGCCGGCGGCGUGCUUAACACAUGCAAGUCGAACGGAAAGGCCUCUUUCGGGGGGUACUCGAGUGGCGAACGGGUGAGUAACACGUGAGUAACCUGCCCUUGACUUUGGGAUAACUUCAGGAAACUGGGGCUAAUACCGGAUAGGAGCUCCUGCUGCAUGGUGGGGGUUGGAAAGUUUCGGCGGUUGGGGAUGGACUCGCGGCUUAUCAGCUUGUUGGUGGGGUAGUGGCUUACCAAGGCUUUGACGGGUAGCCGGCCUGAGAGGGUGACCGGCCACAUUGGGACUGAGAUACGGCCCAGACUCCUACGGGAGGCAGCAGUGGGGAAUAUUGCACAAUGGGUGGAAGCCUGAUGCAGCAACGCCGUGUGCGGGAGGACGGCCUUCGGGUUGUAAACCGCUUUCGCUCAUGACGAAGCUUUGUGUGACGGUAGUGGGUAAAGAAGCACCGGCUAACUACGUG
rnacentral:rRNA from 1 species